UUCCGGUUGAUCCUGCCGGAGGUCAUUGCUAUUGGAGUCCGAUUUAGCCAUGCUAGUUGCACGAGUUCAGACUCGUAGCAGAUAGCUCAGUAACACGUGGCCAAACUACCCUGUCGAGCACCAUAACCUCGGGAAACUGAGGCUAAUAGUGCAUACGGCUCGAUGCCUGGAACUGGCUCGAGCUCGAAACGCUCCGGCGCGACAGGAUGUGGCUGCGGCCGAUUAGGUAGACGGUGGGGUAACGGCCCACCGUGCCGAUAAUCGGUACGGGUUGUGAGAGCAAGAGCCCGGAGACGGAAUCUGAGACAAGAUUCCGGGCCCUACGGGGCGCAGCAGGCGCGAAACCUUUACACUGCACGCCAGUGCGAUAAGGGGACUCCAAGUGCGAGGGCAUAUAGUCCUCGCUUUUCACCACCGUAAGGUGGUGGUGGAAUAAGUGCUGGGCAAGACCGGUGCCAGCCGCCGCGGUAAUACCGGCAGCACAAGUGAUGACCGCUAUUAUUGGGCCUAAAGCGUCCGUAGCCGGCCACGCAAGUCCAUCGGGAAAUCUGCUCGCCUAACGAGCAGGCGUCCGACGGAAACUGUGUGGCUUGGGACCGGAAGAUCCAGAGGGUACGUCUGGGGUAGGAGUGAAAUCCCGUAAUCCUGGACGGACCACCGGUGGCGAAAGCGCUCUGGAAGGACGGAUCCGACGGUGAGGGACGAAAGCUAGGGUCACGAACCGGAUUAGAUACCCGGGUAGUCCUAGCUGUAAACGAUGCUCGCUAGGUUUGGCGCUGGCUACGAGCCAGCGCUGUGCCGUAGGGAAGCCGUGAAGCGAGCCGCCUGGGAAGUACGUCUGCAAGGAUGAAACUUAAAGGAAUUGGCGGGGGAGCACUACAACCGGGGGAGCCUGCGGUUUAAUUGGAUUCAACGCCGGA
rnacentral:rRNA from 1 species